rnacentral:rRNA from 1 species
GAUGAACGCUGGCGGCGUGCCUAAUACAUGCAAGUCGAGCGAACGGACGAGAAGCUUGCUUUUCUGAUGUUAGCGGCGGACGGGUGAGUAACACGUGGAUAACCUACCUAUAAGACUGGGAUAACUUCGGGAAACCGGAGCUAAUACCGGAUAAUAUUUUGAACCGCAUGGUUCAAAAGUGAAAGACGGUCUUGCUGUCACUUAUAGAUGGAUCCGCGCUGCAUUAGCUAGUUGGUAAGGUAACGGCUUACCAAGGCAACGAUGCAUAGCCGACCUGAGAGGGUGAUCGGCCACACUGGAACUGAGACACGGUCCAGACUCCUACGGGAGGCAGCAGUAGGGAAUCUUCCGCAAUGGGCGAAAGCCUGACGGAGCAACGCCGCGUGAGUGAUGAAGGUCUUCGGAUCGUAAAACUCUGUUAUUAGGGAAGAACAUAUGUGUAAGUAACUGUGCACAUCUUGACGGUACCUAAUCAGAAAGCCACGGCUAACUACGUGCCAGCAGCCGCGGUAAUACGUAGGUGGCAAGCGUUAUCCGGAAUUAUUGGGCGUAAAGCGCGCGUAGGCGGUUUUUUAAGUCUGAUGUGAAAGCCCACGGCUCAACCGUGGAGGGUCAUUGGAAACUGGAAAACUUGAGUGCAGAAGAGGAAAGUGGAAUUCCAUGUGUAGCGGUGAAAUGCGCAGAGAUGUGGAGGAACACCAGUGGCGAAGGCGACUUUCUGGUCUGUAACUGACGCUGAUGUGCGAAAGCGUGGGGAUCAAACAGGAUUAGAUACCCUGGUAGUCCACGCCGUAAACGAUGAGUGCUAAGUGUUAGGGGGUUUCCGCCCCUUAGUGCUGCAGCUAACGCAUUAAGCACUCCGCCUGGGGAGUACGACCGCAAGGUUGAAACUCAAAGGAAUUGACGGGGGCCCGCACAAGCGGUGGAGCAUGUGGUUUAAUUCGAAGCAACGCGAAGAACCUUACCAAAUCUUGACAUCCUUUGACAACUCUAGAGAUAGAGCCUUCCCCUUCGGGGGACAAAGUGACAGGUGGUGCAUGGUUGUCGUCAGCUCGUGUCGUGAGAUGUUGGGUUAAGUCCCGCAACGAGCGCAACCCUUAAGCUUAGUUGCCAUCAUUAAGUUGGGCACUCUAAGUUGACUGCCGGUGACAAACCGGAGGAAGGUGGGGAUGACGUCAAAUCAUCAUGCCCCUUAUGAUUUGGGCUACACACGUGCUACAAUGGACAAUACAAAGGGCAGCGAAACCGCGAGGUCAAGCAAAUCCCAUAAAGUUGUUCUCAGUUCGGAUUGUAGUCUGCAACUCGACUACAUGAAGCUGGAAUCGCUAGUAAACGUAGAUCAGCAUGCUACGGUGAAUACGUUCCCGGGUCU